GUGAACCGCUUAGAAGCAAACAGGUGGAGCUGACAUUAAUCCUGCUGAAUUCAGCUUUUCCGAAAGUGGACUGCGUUUGUUUAAUCGCAAGAUAAGCAUUGCGUAUGUUCCAUUGAGGAAGAGUGCACUUUCAGUAGGCUUGCGUCACGACCAAUGAUACCGCUGGCGAAGGCCAACUGAUUGCCGACUGUGAGUUUACGCUUGCAGAGCCCCAUCAGUUGAGUCAGUCCGGGUCGAUGUCAUUGGGAACCAAACGCACUCGCUUGUCGCAAACUGCCGGGCAUGGGGUCGCUUGAAAUUCUGUAUUGUGCUUGCACAAUGCGGUAACCCUCGAAUCUAAUGCUCGGUUUUCUUGCGUUUGUGCUUAUGGUCUGUGGCGUCCGCGUCAGCCUCCCACCUGACCCGUCUUGAAACACGGACCAAGGAGUCUAACGUGCACGCAAGUCAUUGGGCUGUAAACCCACAGGCGUAAUGAAAGUAAAGGUCAAUUCAGUUGACCGAGGUGAGAUCCCUUUACUGGGCGCACCACUGUCCCAUCGCAUCUGCUUGUCAGAGCGGUGGAGAAAAAGCGUGCGCGUUGGGACCCGAAAGAUGGUGAACUAUGCCUGAGCAGGAUAAAGUCAUCGGAAACGGUGAUGGAGGUCCGUAGCGGUUCUGACGUGCAAAUCGAUCGUCAGA
rnacentral:rRNA from 1 species